rnacentral:lncRNA from 1 species
UCGGAGAGAGCUUGUGAUACUCCCUCCUGGAAAUGUGAUGUUGUUUUACCCUGAGUCGGUGAUUGGGUGUCCCAAUCGUCGACUCCUUAAGUUUUGGGUAACUGUGAGGAUUUUGACGACUUCUGGCCGAAGCGAUAGAAGUGUCGGGAGAGCUCGUGAUAUUCCCCCUCUUGUAAUGUUUUGAUAUUUUUGUAAUUUCUUGGAAC